rnacentral:snRNA from 1 species
ACAACCUCACAGAGAAGAUUAGCAUGGCCCCUGCACUAAGGAUGACACGUUUAAUCAAAGAGAAGCUAAACAUUUUU